AAGUCGUAACAAGGUUUCCGUAGGUGAACCUGCGGAAGGAUCAUUAAUGGAAUAAACCUGGUGGAUUUGUUGCUGGCUCUCUUUUGAGCAAUGUGCACGUCUGUCAUCUUUAUCUUUCCACCUGUGCACCUUUUGUAGACCUGGAUGCAAAUAUAUCAAUCUGAGGUGAAACUCAGGCGUGAGGACUGCCGGCGUCGUAACAGAUAUCGGCUUUCCUUGUAGUGUCCAGGGCUAUGUCUUUCAUACACACUUUAAAAAUGUAACAGAAUGUAAUUAAAAGGUCUUUGUACCUAUAAAAGCAUAUACAACUUUCAGCAACGGAUCUCUUGGCUCUC
rnacentral:misc_RNA from 1 species